rnacentral:rRNA from 1 species
AGAGUUUGAUCCUGGCUCAGAUUGAACGCUGGCGGCAGGCCUAACACAUGCAAGUCGAGCGGUAACACAGAGGAGCUUGCUCCUUGGGUGACGAGCGGCGGACGGGUGAGUAAUGCCUGGGGAUCUGCCCGAUAGAGGGGGAUAACUACGGGAAACUGUAGCUAAUACCGCAUAACGUCUACGGACCAAAGUGGGGGCUCUUCGGACCUCAUGCUAUCGGAUGAACCCAGGUGGGAUUAGCUAGUUGGUGAGGUAAUGGCUCACCAAGGCGACGAUCUCUAACUGGUUUGAGAGAAUGACCAGUCACACUGGAACUGAGACACGGUCCAGACUCCUACGGGAGGCAGCAGUGGGGAAUAUUGCACAAUGGGCGCAAGCCUGAUGCAGCCAUGCCGCGUGUGUGAAGAAGGCCUUCGGGUUGUAAAGCACUUUCAGCGGGGAGGAAGGGCUACUAGUUAAUACCUAGUGGCAUUGACGUUACUCGCAGAAGAAGCACCGGCUAACUCCGUGCCAGCAGCCGCGGUAAUACGGAGGGUGCAAGCGUUAAUCGGAAUUACUGGGCGUAAAGCGCACGCAGGCGGUUUGUUAAGUCAGAUGUGAAAUCCCCGAGCUCAACUUGGGAACUGCAUUUGAAACUGGCAAGCUAGAGUCUUGUAGAGGGGGGUAGAAUUCCAGGUGUAGCGGUGAAAUGCGUAGAGAUCUGGAGGAAUACCGGUGGCGAAGGCGGCCCCCUGGACAAAGACUGACGCUCAGGUGCGAAAGCGUGGGGAGCAAACAGGAUUAGAUACCCCGGUAGUCCAA